rnacentral:rRNA from 1 species
UACGUAGGGUGCGAGCGUUAAUCGGAAUUACUGGGCGUAAAGCGUGCGUAGGCGGUUCGUUAAGUCAGCUGUGAAAGCCCCGGGCUCAACCUGGGAACUGCGGUUGAAACUGGCGAACUAGAAUCUGGCAGAGGGGGGUGGAAUUCCACGUGUAGCAGUGAAAUGCGUAGAGAUGUGGAGGAACACCGAUGGCGAAGGUAGCCCCCUGGGCUGAGAUUGACGCUCAGGCACGAAAGCGUGGGGAGCAAACAGG